GGCCAGCCUGCAUGUAGACGGUAAGGAAGGGGACGCAGAGACUCGGAUGGCUACACAUCUGACCUGCACCUAUGUAAUCUAAUCAAUUUGGAUGCGCUGGCUGUACAACCCAGAAGCAAAGACCAAGAUAAUACUUCUGUAUCAAAGGCUACUUGGGGCCUGGACCUAUGAACAAAGAUCAGCAAAGAAUCAUCUUUUCAUCUGUGGCAGAAAACUAGGCAGAAGAAGUAAAUCCAGCAGAAAACAUUAUUAUUUCCUAAGAAUACUGCAAGGAUUAAAAUACAGUUAAAACCAAGUUCCUCAAUGAUGCAAUUUUCAU